GUGUCAUUAGCUCAGUGAUGAGCAUUUGACUGCAGAUCAAAAGGUCACUGGUUCGAACUUGGUAAGGACCU
rnacentral:tRNA from 1 species